rnacentral:tmRNA from 1 species
GGGGGUGCACCGGUUUCGACGGAUGCGGGAGCGCAUUUACUGCAUGUAGGUGUGAAGGCGCCUUAAGCUGACAAAAAAAAUAACUGCAAUCUUCAACAGAAAAGAAGAAGAAGAUUCUUCUGAAGAACAGUUUGCAAUGGCUGCCUAGUCAGCCUGCACGGAACUCACAGGGUGCUGUUCCUAACUUUGUGAUGUUCUGACGCUAACAGGAACUAGAUGUACAUUGCGUUCGGCCGAUGUAUGUGACAUUUAGUCGGAAUACGGAAAAGACGCUUGUUAUGCUGCUACCUUUUCCCGACAAUUACCUCGCAUAACUAAACAUGUAGAUGUACUUGGACUACGCACCCGGACGGGGGUUCAAUUCCCCCCAUCUCCAU